rnacentral:rRNA from 1 species
AACGCUGGCGGCGUGCCUAAUACAUGCAAGUCGAACGAACUUCCGUUAAUUGAUUAUGACGUACUUGUACUGAUUGAGAUUUUAACACGAAGUGAGUGGCGAACGGGUGAGUAACACGUGGGUAACCUGCCCAGAAGUAGGGGAUAACACCUGGAAACAGAUGCUAAUACCGUAUAACAGAGAAAACCGCAUGGUUUUCUUUUAAAAGAUGGCUCUGCUAUCACUUCUGGAUGGACCCGCGGCGUAUUAGCUAGUUGGUGAGGUAAAGGCUCACCAAGGCAGUGAUACGUAGCCGACCUGAGAGGGUAAUCGGCCACAUUGGGACUGAGACACGGCCCAGACUCCUACGGGAGGCAGCAGUAGGGAAUCUUCCACAAUGGACGCAAGUCUGAUGGAGCAACGCCGCGUGAGUGAAGAAGGGUUUCGGCUCGUAAAGCUCUGUUGUUAAAGAAGAACGUGGGUAAGAGUAACUGUUUACCCAGGACGGUAUUUAACCAGAAAGCCACGGCUAACUA